UAUAUAUGCAAAAAUCCCUUCAAGGCAGGACUUACAUUAUUGUUGGUUGAAUAACUGGGGUCAGGUGAAUGACCAAGGUUACACGUCUAUCAUGGGGGGGAUGAUAGAAUCAGCCUAGCAAGGCUUGGGUCUUUCUUUUGAGUUUAAUUGGGACACAGGUGGAAAUUGAAGUUCAAAUAAAGCAAUAAUUGUGAAUGAUAAUAAAAUACAUCCUAUUUAGCCAUGGAAAUUCCUCUUACCUCUUAAAACCAAAUGACAUGUUUAAUAUUUUAUAAUUAAUUUAGGUUGGGUGUGGUGGUGGCUCAUGCCUGUAAUCCCAGCACUUUUGGAGAUGGAGUCAGGCAGAGAGCUUGAUUUCAUGAGUUCGAGAUCAGCCUAGGCAGCAUGGCAAAACCCUUGUCUCUACCAAAAAUACAAAAAUUUUAGCCAGGCAUGGUGGUGCAUGUCUGUACUCCCAGCUACUCAGACAGCUGAGGUGGGAAGAUCACAUGAGCCUAGGAGGUCGAGGCUGCAGUGAGCUGUCCUCCUGCCACAGCACUGCAGCCUGAGUGACAGAGCAAGACCCUGUCUCAAUAAUAAUGAUGAUAACAAUAACACUAAUAAAUUUAGAGCAAAUGAAAAUUAAAGUGCAACUAUUCAUCCUCUCUUGUGAAGCUGUAUUUUUUUUUACUGUUACAUUACAAAUUACUGAAAAUGUAACAGCUCAAAGCAACAAAUAUUUAUCAUCUCCCACAGUUUCCAA
rnacentral:lncRNA from 10 species